AUACGGAGGGCGCGAACGUUGCUCGGAAUCAUUGGGCGUAAAGCGCACGUAGGUGGCCUGAUAAGUCGGAUGUGAAAGCCCACGGCUCAACCGUGGAAGUGCAUUCGAAACUGUCAGGCUCGAGUAUGGGAGAGGGUUGCGGAAUUCCCGGUGUAGAGGUGAAAUUCGUAGAUAUCGGGAGGAACACCAGCGGCGAAGGCGGCAGCCUAGACCAUUACUGACGCCGAGGUGCGAAAGCGUGGGAAGCAAACAGGAUUAGAAACCCUAGUAGUCC
rnacentral:rRNA from 1 species